CUAGCGACGUGCCUAAGGUAUGCAAGUCGAAUGCCGAUUUAUCGGCAUGGCAGACGGCUGAGUAAUACAUGGGAAUCUACCUCAAACUCGAGAAUAGCCCAUCGAAAGGUGGUGUAAUACUCGAUAGUUCCGUUUACGGUAAAGCUCCGGCGGUUUGAGAUGAGCCCAUGUCCUAUCAGGUUGUUGGUGGGGUAAUUGCCUACCAAGCCUAUGACGGGUAGCUGGUUUGAGAGGAUGAUCAGCCAGACUGGGACUGCGAUACGGCCCAGACUCCUACGGGAGGCAGCAACUAGGAAUCAUGCGCAAUGGACGAAAGUCUGACGCUGCGACGUCGCGUGAGGGAUGAAGGUCUUCGGAUCGUAAACCUCUUUUAUCUGGGAACAAGUUCUGAGUGUACCAGAUGAAUAAGUGCCUGCCAACCACGUGCCAGAAGCAUCGGUAAUGCGUGGGGCACGAGCGUUAUCCGGAUUUACUGGGCGUAAAGAGAUGCGUAGGCGCCUUUUUAAGUCACUUGUAAAAUCUCCCCGCUCAACGGGGAAACUGCAAGUGAUACUGAAUUGGUUGAGUCAAGUAGAGGAGAGGGGAAUUCCUGGUGGAGCGGUUAAAUGCGUUGAUAUCAGGAGGAAUACCAAGUGCGAAGGCACCUCUCUGGACUUGUACUGACGCUAAGGCUCGAAAGUGUGGGGAGCAAAACGGAUUAGAUACCCGUGUAAGUCCACACUGUAAACGAUCCCUGCUAGAUGUUUGC
rnacentral:rRNA from 1 species